rnacentral:rRNA from 1 species
GGAGUUUGGUCCGUGUCUCAGUACCAAUGUGGGGGACCUUCCUCUCAGAACCCCUACUGAUCGAUGGCUUGGUGGGCCGUUACCCCGCCAACAACCUAAUCAGACGCAUCCCCAUCCUAUACCGAUGAAUCUUUGCUUCACGUCAGAUGCCAUCUAUGAAGAACAUAGGGUAUUAAUCCGACUUUCGCCGGGCGUAUCCCCUACGUAUAGGAAGGUUGGAUACGCGUUACUCACCCGUGCGCCGGUCGCCAUCGGAGUCAGCAAGCUGACUCCAUGUUGCCCCUCGACUUGCAUGUGUUAAGUCUGUAGCUAGCGUUCAUC